rnacentral:piRNA from 1 species
GAAAUGUGCCAUCUCCUUACCUCAGUCGAA